AGAAAAUAGAUACCCAGGUAGUCCACGCCCUAAACGAUGUCGACUGGUUGUUGGGGGUUUGACACUCUCAGUAAACGAAAGCUAAACGCGUGAAGUCGACCGCCUGGGGAGUACGGCCGCAAGGUUAAAACUCAAAGGAAUUGACGGGGACCCGCACAAGCGGUGGAUUAUGUGGAUUAAUUCGAUGCAACGCGAAAAACCUUACCUACCCUUGACAUGUCCGGAAGGCUGCUGAAAGGCGGCUGUGCCCGAAAGGGAACUGGAACACAGGUGCUGCAUGGCUGUCGUCAGCUCGUGUCGUGAGAUGUUGGGUUAAGUCCCGCAACGAGCGCAACCCUUGUCAUUAGUUGCUACCCGCAAGGGAGCACUCUAAUGAGACUGCCGGUGACAAACCGGAGGAAGGUGGGGAUGACGUCAAGUCCUCAUGGCCCUUAUGGGUAGGGCUUCACACGUAAUACAAUGGCGCGUACAGAGGGUUGCCAAGGAGCGAUCUGGAGCCAAUCCCGUAAAGCGCGUCGUAGUCCGGAUUGCAGUCUGCAACUCG
rnacentral:rRNA from 1 species